ACGUACACUCCUACGGGAGGCAGCAGUGGGGAAUAUUGCACAAUGGGCGCAAGCCUGAUGCAGCCAUGCCGCGUGUAUGAAGAAGGCCUUCGGGUUGUAAAGUACUUUCAGCGGGGAGGAAGGCAAUACGGUUAAUAACCGUGUUGAUUGACGUUACCCGCAGAAGAAGCACCGGCUAACUCCGUGCCAGCAGCCGCGGUAAUACGGAGGGUGCAAGCGUUAAUCGGAAUUACUGGGCGUAAAGCGCACGCAGGCGGUCUGUCAAGUCGGAUGUGAAAUCCCCGGGCUCAACCUGGGAACUGCAUUCGAAACUGGCAGGCUUGAGUCUUGUAGAGGGGGGUAGAAUUCCAGGUGUAGCGGUGAAAUGCGUAGAGAUCUGGAGGAAUACCGGUGGCGAAGGCGGCCCCCUGGACAAAGACUGACGCUCAGGUGCGAAAGCGUGGGGAGCAAACAGGAUUAGAAACCCCGGUAGUCCCAUG
rnacentral:rRNA from 1 species